rnacentral:rRNA from 1 species
UAUGGAGAGUUUGAUCCUGGCUCAGGACUAACGCUGGCGGCGUGUCUUAGACAUGCAAGUCGAACGGACACCUGAUUGUAGCAAUACAGUUAGGUGUUAGUGGCGAACGGGUGAGUAACACAAAGGUAACUUACCCUGGGGUGGGGCAUAACCCAGCGAAAGCAGGGCUAAUUCCCCAUAUUCUCAUUGGACUUCGGUCUAAUGAGGAAAGGCUUCGGUCGCCCCAGGAUAGGCCUUUGGCCCAUCAGUUAGUUGGUAGGGUAACGGCCUACCAAGACUCUGACGGGUAGGGGGUGUGAGAGCACGUCCCCCCACAUGGGAACUGAGACACGGUCCCAACUCCUACGGGAGGCAGCAGUCUAGAAAUUUGCGCAAUGGGCGAAAGCCUGACGCAGCGACGCCG